rnacentral:lncRNA from 10 species
CUGAAUCAAAUUGGAUAUCAUUACUGAACCUUCAUUCAAUGCUUCAAUACCCAUUUAGUGUCAUCUGUCCAAAUGCUGGAGAUACGCCUAGCACACACUGACUGCUCAGUGAGCAGUGUCACAAUGAACACGUGCAAUGGCCUUGAAGGCCACAUCGGGGCUUGCCCUGAUCAGCAGGUUGGAGGUGCUCCAGGCCCGAAGCUUAGCUGUGAGUGGGGACACGGGAGGGAGGUUGGAACUGCCACUGCAGAAGGGGUUCUGAACCUAGGUUCAGGAGAGAGGCUUUGAACCUGCACGUGUGGGAAGCCAUGGAAGUUUCCAGGAAGGACUGCAGGUCCCAACUGGAGAUGUGCCGUUCCUCCUUCAGGUACCUGGGAAUGUCAGUCACACCCCAGACCUGCUCAGCUCCCCCAAACUGCUGUUCCUGUAUCUGAGAGCUUCAAGUCUCCAAAUGGCCUACCUCAUACAUGGGGAAACUGAGGCCUGGGGAGGCCGGGGACUGAGCUAGCAUUCACUUGUGGAAAUAGUCUGGCAUCAUCUGGAGAAGUUAGAGACAUGCAAACCCUACAGCCCUCAGAUUCCCGUCUGAGAGUCUGCAUGCCUAUGUGGACCAGGAGAUGUGUGCGGGAGUGAACACUGCAGUGUUGCUCCCAACAGCAAGAACCAGAAGCAGCCCAAAGGGCUGUUACAGGAGAAUAUGGACACCCAGGCUGCACAUGCACACCAUGGAAUGCUGUAUGGCAGUGGAAAUAAAUGAACAGCUACCACUAUAGGCAAACAGGAAUCACA